rnacentral:tRNA from 1 species
GGUCCCGUAGCUCAGCAGGAUAGAGCACCAGAUUCCUAAUCUGGGGGUCAGAGGUUCGAAUCCUCUCGGGACCGCCA